GGGGCUGUAGCUCAGUGGUAGAGCGCUUGCCUAGCAUGCAUAAAGCACUGGGUUUGAUCCUCAGCACCA
rfam:Ictidomys tridecemlineatus contig112144, whole genome shotgun sequence.